UCCUUCUUAGCUCAGUUGGUAGAGCGCGUCACUAGUAGAUUGUAAAGUCUGGCAAGUUACUAUGACGAGGUCAGUCGUUCAAGUCGGCUAGAAGGAA